rnacentral:snRNA from 1 species
AUCGCAGGUGCAUGGGCUUGACGCGUAGCAGUGAGGAGUAAUCCGAGCUCGUGUUUUUGCUAGUUGAAAACUACAACUAUAUUGACGCUCCGUAUGGGCUUCGGCUCGUAUGGGAAUUUUUGAAAUACUUUUUCAA